CCUGUUACUAUCACAGAAACUGUCAUCUGAAGUUUGGUGUUCCAUCUCUGCUCAGAAGCUCCCUCUCCAUGUCCGCCUCAUCUCCUGAAAGAUUCCCAGAAGAUGCAAUUUGCUAAUGUCCCGGUGGCCCUGGCUGGAGUGUGGACUAGACCACCUACAAGGCAGUGUUGGGGAAUAUAUGAUAAGACCCUAUUGCUGAAGAC